GUGUUCAUUUUGGCAGCACAUAUAUUAAAAUUGGAAUGAUAUAGAAAAGAUUAGCAUGGCCCCGUACAAGGAUGAUACACAAAUUCGUGAAGGAUUCCAUUUAAAA